GCCUGGGCCUGGGGCCUUGGCCUUGGCCUUAGGCCUGGGGUCCGGUCUGGGCAAUGGGGCCUGGCCCAGGCUGGGCGGAGUGAAGGGUAGGAAGGGCAGCCCCUUCCCUAAUCACUGAGGCAGCCGUUAACGAAGUCAAAGGAGUUUCAGCCCACCUGCCCGGAGGCCCAGCAGAGCCCCAGGAGCAAUGCGCGCACGACUUGUGAGCGCCUGAGGCGUCCCACGGCCCGAGCACGUAGUGUCCAACGUCUGAGGGGAAAGGGGAAGAAAGGUGCUUUUCCAGGCCUUAUGCAGGGAGGAGCUAUCUUCCCUUAACACCUGCAACGUUCAGCUGAUGUCCUGAAUGCUAAUUUGUGAUUAUCCUUUGCUUAAUGUUUGUCCUUUCAACCGUUAUGGAUCAAAAUGAUUUUAUUACAGUGUUUGGCUUAACGACCUGCUGCAGCAGUGGACUGAACAGAAUGAGAUGGUUUAUAAAGUGGUUUUGUUAAUUUGCCUUAAAGUUCUCUGUUACUAAGUUAGUAAGUUGCUAUUUCUCCUGCAUUUCAGCAGUGUUCGGAUCAUUUUUAUAGCUUACCAGCAGGCAGAAGAUAGCUCCUAUCAACAGGAUGCACCAACCGAUGUUUCGCCGUCCUGGUUGCUCACUAUAGGCCCCCUUUCCAAAACUCAUAAUUUCACUGGUGAAUAGCAUCCGAAGCUUACGAACUUCCCAGAAGGACCCAUGGAGACAGAAUUUCUUUACAGUAUCAUACCAGAUGUACAUUGAAGAGCUAAUGGUGAACAUUUAUGAAAUUGAUAUUGCAGCUAAACCCAGCAGAGGAGAGGUGAGGAGAGAAAUCCAUCAGGGGAAUGUUUUGCAGAGUACCCUCUUAAGACACAGUCUUGACUGUAUAGUAAUGCCCCCCUUCUGUGGCUUUAAUUUCUUCAGUCAAACAAAGAGAUGUGUGUGGCUGAUUCUGAAUACUACUGCAGAUACUGCUGUGCAACCUGGAAGACUCCACUGACUGUAGAAAUCAGAUUCUCUUUUGGAAAGAUGAAACCCAGGAUGUAGCGGAGCUCCCUGUGGGCAAAGCUGUGAUUUGAAACUUUUGCCUGAGAAACAGGCAUCAAACCCACAAGAAACAGCAAUUAUCUUUUACACAUUUUCUUCAGGAGUGUUUUCUUUCUAUGACUCCAGUCACAGUGUGGGCUGUCAUCAAAGACUUGGUUAACUCUCCUCUUUUCCUCCAGGAUAUUGGGUCUUCAGUCUUAGAUCAGUCACACAGAUCCUUCCAUUUUGGUAUCAUUUAUUGUACCUUUGGUUUAGACACUAUUCUUAUGUUUUAUUUUCAGUGUGGUGCAGCCCACCUUUUUUUUUUUUUCCUAUUCCAUGUUUUUUUAUUUCCCUCUGACUUUAAAUGAAAAUGGGUAGAGACCAAGUCCACCCAAGUGGGCUAGUGUCAGACAUAGAAGUCUCUUACAAUCUUUCUUGCCGCUGGCACUGACUGAAGAUAUAGAAUGAUGCAAUGUAUAAAUCUUUUUUUUUUUUUUUUUUGUUGCCUUCUGUAUAUCUGUAGGGAUUCAGCGUCUCUGGCACUUUCACUUGUUCUACUCUUCAACUUAAGAUUAUUUUCUUUAAUUUCUUUCUGCUGCUGGCACAAUGGCAUGUUCAUUAACCACUCCAACCCAAGGUGCUCGAAAGAAAUUGUGUCUAUCUGGUGACACAGUUCCAAAAGCUUUUGCCUAGCAGAACAGGGGCUUUUACAGAACUCCUCCCCUGGAUAUUUUUGUGUGUCUGGACGGAGCCCACUGAAAGGUGUAACUGCUACAGGGAGAACAGUUUGGCUGCAAGAUAAGGAAAGCAGUCUAGACAGAUCUGUCUCAGCACAUAGGAUAAGGUUAUUUUGCCUAUCUAAAGUUCUGUCCCAGUCAUUUAGUGCAUGUUUAUAUUUUGAGUGAUGACAUCCUAUUUCUUCAAGGAUUUUUAUGAGAAGCAAUCAGACUCCUCUAGCCCCUACAGCCUCCUACAAAUCCUAGUUCGUUUGGGAUUUUAGGUCCUGUGCUCGGGGCUGCUAGCCUCACUAAAGACAUUUUCUUUUGGUGGAGGAAGAAUUUCCAUAUUCCUGCUAAAGAAUUUUAAUGUGCAAUAGCUGAAGAAGUUAUGUUUAUUCUAGUAUCAGGUGUUUUGACAUUUCAGGCUGCAGGGGCAUUUGAUGCAAGGUGUGUGUCAAAAAGAUGUGGGGCUAUGUCAGGAAUGCUAAAGGCUAAUGUGGACCGUGUUAUGAUACUACGUUGUUGCAGAAUCAAUCAGUACCUCUCUUGGGAUAGAUUUGCGCAUACCAUGAGAGUAACCCCCAAAUAUCCACAAGCCUAGACUUGUGGGCUGCUAGACAGAGAACCUGUAAUAUGGUCUUAUACACACCUCUUAGACCACUUCUUCACUUUUCCAGGCACAUUUUUGUUGCCUGCAGUCAGCCAAGGAGUCUUAUGUUAGUGGAAGGGGAGACUAUCCAGCAGCACUUUAGAAAACCUUGUUGGAAAGUGAUAUAGCUUGAGUCACCAUAUUGAAUUCUGAUCCUCUCUGAAAUAAGAAUACAGCAUAAAAAGGUUGAGAGGAAGCAACAAAAAUAGGCUGCUGUGUGAGGCAGAGACAGAAAGGUCAGGCUAUUAGAUGCUGUGAAGAAACAAACAAGGGAUGAUACAAUAGGUAUAUGCAAAAUUUUCUUUAGGUUCUG